rnacentral:lncRNA from 1 species
CGCGGGCUGCCCGGCGCGAACGCCUGCGGGGAGGGCGGCCUCCUCGCCCGGCCCGGCCCUGCCCUGCCCCGGGGGCGGCGGCUCGGCGCAAGUCGGGCGGCCCUGGGGAGGCUGCGGGCGCGGCGUCUGGAGUUUUGAGGCAAAUCGAAGCGAGGGUCUUUCAGGCGAAGUGGCUAGACGUCCCAGCGGGGACAAUAGGUGUCAAGCGGCCGGCGGGGCGGGGCGGGGCGGGGCGGGGCGCCCCGGGGAAGGGCCGGCGGCCGGGGGUCCCUGGGGCGCGCGCGGGGCCGGGGCCAGAGGGCUGGCCUGUUAGGAGUCCUAAAGCUCCGGACUCGUGUGAAAACAGCCUUCAGCUACCUUGAGGAAGUGCUGUGAGGAUGUCUUAAGUAGGGCGUGUUGACAAUUGCCAGAUAGAUGGAAAAGGACCGCAAACUCCAGUCGCUGAUCUAGGAAGGAGCAGUGGCAUUCCAAGAUGGGAGAGAAAAUGUUGAGAGAAAUUUGCUGAGGAAAGAAUCCAAGCAGAGUGGUGACUGGAAGGAGAGUAGCAGAGGAGAUGAUCGCAGAGGAUAUCGCACAGGGUAGUCACACUCCAUUAAGACGCUGCUUCCAGAGGAGACUUUUCUCUAGGCCCUUCUUGUCUAGACCGCGUGCCUCUGGCAGUCCUGUCCUGCUGCAAGACCCGUGUUCCUUGGCUUUCUUUGGAGUCAGAGCUGGAGAUGCUGCUUCUCCUGAAUGCGGUGCUAACAUCUACCUAAAGAAGAAAGAGGCCAGUUCUUUAGGACGGGGCAAGUUGGUUUGACGAGAGAAAGAGAAGAGGUGAUCAUGUGACAAGAAAUAGAUGGUGUUUGAAGCCAAGAAGUGAGAAUUAGUGAGAUCUAUUGAGAUUAAAGCAAAGAGAAGAGAACCUAGGACAACAGCAACAUUUGAAGGAAAGUCUUACACCAGACAACUUUGAUGGAGGAAGAAGUGCACGACCACGACCACAGCGAGAGGGUGGGCCCCUGGAACCCGGAACGUCCUGCUUACUCCCACGGAGCUGGGCUCAGACUGUACGCAGGGCUCCUUAGAGGUCAUGCAGAUCGGGGAAAAUGGGCAACACUCAUUAAGUGUUUCGUGCCUAGAGUACCUGCUGCUGGACUCCUUUCAUCCCUGUGGAGCAGGCCCCUUCACCAGCUUCAUCUUACAGGUGAAAACAUCAAGGCUCAGGGAAGUUAAGCAACUUUUCCGAGAGCACCCAUCUAGUAAGUCCUCGAGCCGGGAUUCAAACUCUUGUCUCUUCAACCCUAGAGCUCACGCUCGUAACUAAUGGCGCAUACAACCGUUUUUACUCCACAACGCACGUCCAAACCUAACCAACACGUGAGAAACGCAGCCUGAGUCUCAGAAGCAAGAGCAUCAACAAAGAAGCUGCCUAAACAAGUGAAACCAAGCCUGCAGAACUGCAAGGCCACAUGUCUAACAGACGUGAUAAUGACUGUACACCCUCUCUAUUCCUUUCUUCACAAAGGGCUGACCCACCCAUGUGAAAACCUGCCGGGGACCUCAGCCUUCAGCUCUAGGAUUUGUUUCAGCAUUCCCCUUUCUGCCUGGUUAGGUCCCCGGGCCCUUGCUGUCAUCUUCUGAGUACGUUUUUCCUCCUUCUGAUUCCAUUUCUUAACUCCAGAUUCGGGCCCUCCACACUUCUCACUGUACCCAUUUCAACAUGCCCUUUGGGCUCUAGCCAGCAUUCCCUCUUGGAAAUGAUCUUAACACGACCUUGUGGGGCCACAGGGGAGAGGCUUGGCUUGGCUCCCUGCCUGGGCCUCAGGCUCUGCCACACAAGGAGACGCCCACUCUCAGGACAGCGGAAGAGGACACACAUUCACAUUCGUAUAAAGCUCAUUGUUUACAGAACAUUUGAAAAAUAUCCUGUGGUGUUUUUAGGAGAAGACAGAGCAGGUACUAUUUUCUCCAUUUUUUUUUAAAUGUCACAAACAUUUCAAGCAUACAAGAGAAAUACACAUAUAGAGACAUCCAUGAACACUGCCCAGACUUGACACAUUUACAUUUAUUUUUCCUUAAAGAAAUAAAAUGUUACAGAUAUGAUUGAAUAUCUUCCCAUCCCAUUUCCCCCCUCCUUCCCCAGAGAACCCACGAUCCUUAAAUUGAUCUGAAUCAUGGCAUCCAGGUUUUUAAAUUGUCUGUAUCUAUCUAUCUCUCUACCUGGAAUCUGCAAUGGAUACUAUUGUUCUGUGUUCCUAAAACUUUGACACAAUAUCUUACUAUAUGUAUCCUUUUGCAACUUGCUUUUUUUUUUCAAUUAGUCUUUUUUUUAAUUGAUUGAUUUUUUUUUUUCAGAUUCAGAUUUGUGUUUGUUUGUUUUCCCUUUGGAAUCCUAGUUGGGUUUUUUUGGCAGUAGCAUUGGUUUAUAACAUUAUAUAAAUUUCGGGUGUCCAUCAUUAUAUUUCAGUUUCUGUGUAGAUUGCAUCAUGUUCACCACCCAAAGACUAAUUACCAUCCAUCACCACACACAGGUGCCUAAUCACCCCUUUCGCCCUCCUGCCUCCCCGCUUCCCCUCUGGUAACCACCAGUCCAAUCCCUGUCUCUGGGUGUUUGCCUGCUGUUGUUUGCAACUUGCUUUUUCAGUGUUUUGUUUCUAAGAUUUAUCUUUGUUGAAACAUGUAUCUAAGUUCAUUUAUUUCACCUACUAGAGUGUCUCUUUUUGCUGUAUGCGUAUACACAUACAUAUGUUACUUAUCUAGUUUCCUACUGAAAGAAAUUUACAUAACUUUCUUUUUUGCACCGUUUUGAAAGAUACUGCAAUGACCAGUGUUGCACACUGUUCUUGUAGACAUGUGCUGGACUUUUUCUAGUGCAAAUUCCUGGAAGUAGAAUUGCUAGGUCAUAGGAUAUGUGCAGAACUACAAUUUUAGAAGACACUGCCAAUUGCUCUCCCAAGAGGUUGUACCAAUUUGCAUUUCCAUCAUCUGAGUUUGAGAAUUCCCAUUUCCUUUCAUCCUUGACAACUUUCUGCAUUGUCAGAUGUUUUGAUUUUUAUCAAUCUGUCCACUAAAAAAUAAUUUCACAUUGUUUUAUCAUGGGUAGAUUUUUAAAUUACUGAUUCAAUUUCUUUAUUGACUAUAAAGUCCACUGAAGUUUUCUAUUUCUUCUUGACUCAAUUUUGGUGAUUUAUAGUUUGCAAAAAAACCUGCUCAUUUCUUCCACAUUGCAAAUGUCUUGGCCUAAAGUUGAUUAUGAUAUUUUCUUACUAGUUUUAAAUUUAUUCUAAUUCUAUACCCCUUUUCCUUCCUGAUAUCAUUUAUGUCUUCUCUUUUUAUUUUAAUGGAUCCCGCUAGAGGAUUGUCUAGUAUAUUAAUCUUUUCAAAACACGAGUUUUGGUACUGUUGACCCUGUCUUCUUCCCUUAUUUUCUGUUGCGUUAAUUUCUGUACCUAUCCUUGGUCUUCUUUUUUCCCCUUUUUUGAGCACAAAUUCUUUGGUUCUUUUUGUACUUUCUUUAGUUGCAUGAUAAAUUAAUUUUCAAUCUUUUUUUCUAAUACAUGCAUUAAGGUCGUAAAUUUCUCUUCAAAAACUGCAUUAGCUGUACGACAG